GAUGAACGCUAGCUACAGGCUUAGCACAUGCAAGUCGCGGGGCAGCAUGGGGGUUGCUUGCAAUCCCCGAUGGCGACCGGCGCACGGGUGAGUAACGCGUAUCCAACCUGCCCUUCACCACGGGAUAACCCGGCGAAAGUCGGACUAAUACCGUAUGUUGUCCAUUGACGGCAUCCGAUUUGGACGAAAGGUUUGGCGGUGAAGGAUGGGGAUGCGUCCGAUUAGCUGGACGGCGGGGUGACGGCCCACCGUGGCGACGAUCGGUAGGGGUUCUGAGAGGAAGGUCCCCCACACUGGAACUGAGACACGGUCCAGACUCCUACGGGAGGCAGCAGUGAGGAAUAUUGGUCAAUGGGCGUAAGCCUGAACCAGCCAAGUAGCGUGCAGGAUGACGGCCCUAUGGGCUGUAAACUGCUUUUAUGCGGGGAUAAAGUGGCCCACGUGUGGGUUUUUGCAGGUACCGCAUGAAUAAGGACCGGCUAAUUCCGU
rnacentral:rRNA from 1 species